rnacentral:lncRNA from 1 species
AUUCUUACACCUCUGCUGGUAACAUUUGUAUAUUGUUCUGUGUAUUAUUGUCAGUGGGUCACUGUUUUGCAGGGCGCUCCUCUGCAGUUCUACAGCAGCAGGCAGACGCUGGUGGGAUCACCUUGUGUGGAGCAGACUCAGAGGGUUGAUGACAGGAAUGCUGAGGCUGGUCAGCUGUUCUACGUAGGCCUGCCCUCCAGCUAUAGUCUACCCACCCUGGAUGCCCUGCUGCCACGGCUCCCCUCCUAUGAAAGUGUCCGAAAGAAGGACCGCCAGAGGCAGAUUCACAUGAUGAUCGCCAACCGUUUUGGCCUCAAUGGCACCAUUGAGAAUGAGCCUCCUCCCACAUAUGAAGAGAGCAUCCGUCAGUCUGUGGACCUCCAGUACCAUAUACUCUCCCCUAGCUUGGAUAUCGCUUCUCCUUUCUUCACCAGCACAGACUCCGCCCACCCAGGCAGAUCUGACACCAACAGUGCUGUUGUACCUGUGUGACUCUCAUGAACCUCAAGCUCCUUGACUAAUGUGAAGGAAACAUGACUUUAUCAAGCAGAUGAUGUUUCCAAAAUCCACCCAUGCCUGGAUAAUCAACAUGUGUAUCAACUAAUCAGAUACCUCACGACUGUUUUGGAAUACCCUGCACACGUGAGAUGCAUUUGGAGGUUAUAUAUGCAAAAGUAUAUAAGUGUGAUUGACUGUGGUUGCGUUUCAAAGAGGGAACCCUGAGCAGUGAUAGGCUAAGGUGGCUGGUACAUCUUACAGUGAGUGAGAGGGGCACAAACACACCAAAAAGGGAACCACUUUAUGAUUACAUUGAUGUGGUUUCUAUUUGAAUUUCUUUUUUUUACAAAGGUGUUUUACUGUUUUUUUUCAUUUAUUGGUUGACUAUUUCAUUACUGUAGCUGCUGUAGCCUGAGAGAGAGAGAAGGAAAAAGGUGCUAUUGAAUUUUUUAAAAAAAGAGCUUUUUAUUUACAUUUGAACCUACAGUAUUUGUGUGUUAUUAUUUCUUAUUUUUAGUAACUUUCCUGUCAUAUUUGUUUGUGUUUUCUUGUACUGUAUUUAUUAAAAUGUUAUAUCUCUGG